rnacentral:rRNA from 1 species
GCUCACUAUAACCAUAGCACUUGCAUUUGGGAUCUCAACAGUUAAGUAGGUUCAGGCCAGGUCAGUACUUGAAUGGAAAACUUACCAAGAAAUCCUGUGAGCU